UAGUGCACUGGUCUCUGUGUGUGUGUAAUCAAAGUGAUUUAAUUUGGCUGAGCAAAUGCUUCUGUCUCUGUUUCCUCAGACAGAUAUUGAAUUUCAUGCCACAGCUCACACAGUCCCAGGAUAAAUCCACCAUGAAGACCAAGGAUCUUUCAAACCAAAUCACGGUUACAGUUAGAGAGGCACAGAUCAGGACAAGGUCACUUUUACCUUUGAGUACACUGAGAAUGUUCAUCGUACCACCCAGACUCUACCUACUGUAGAUGAACUCACACUUCUGAACUCGGGAGCCAAGAGACUGGUUUUGGAUACCACUUGGAUGUGCAAAAGUACUGUCUCUGAGAUGUGAGUCACUAUUCAUACAUCAUCAAUAACUGGUUAGUGAAAUCAUACCAUCCCACUGUGCAAAGCUCGUAGAGACCUACUGUAUAUGAACAGAGUGACAAGAGUUAUGAUCAAAAGCGCUUUCUAUUAUUGAACAGAUUUUCGGCGGAGGUCUCAUUCGGAUAUUGCAUUUCCACUUCCUGACACGUAUAAAAACCUUGGAUGCAGAUGGCGCAGUGCACCUCUCCCUGCACCCCAACAUCUCCACUGUAGCAUUAUCUCAUCUGGCCUGUGCCCCAUAAGUGAGGUAGAAUGUGACAGUACUAAUGUCCAGCACAGUCAGUUCCUCAGCCUGUUUCUGGGUCUCAAACGUCUCAAAUCUGGGCAAGAAAUCUACAGAAUAAAGCAAAAAUGAAGCCUC